UACGUAGGGCGCAAGCGUUGUCUGGAAUUAUUGGGCGUAAAGAGCUCGUAGGCGGCUUGUCACGUCGGGUGUGAAAGCCCGGGGCUUAACCCCGGGUCUGCAUUCGAUACGGGCUAGCUAGAGUGUGGUAGGGGAGAUCGGAAUUCCUGGUGUAGCGGUGAAAUGCGCAGAUAUCAGGAGGAACACCGGUGGCGAAGGCGGAUCUCUGGGCCAUUACUGACGCUGAGGAGCGAAAGCGUGGGGAGCGAACAGG
rnacentral:rRNA from 1 species